ensembl:lncRNA
AAGCAAGGUGCCCGAGGGUAGUCUCCCAUCAGAAGCUGUGUCUGUUACAGCCCCCGUGUGUGCACUCCAGCGUUUUAAAGGUUUUGGGAGGUAUGAAUUGGAACUUUCUCAGAUGUAGCAUAUGAAUAAUUUAUUUAUGGAGCCAGCAGAACCUCAUGGAGUUUAAGCGUGGACCUCUAACUCUCAGAGCAAGGAGCCUCCCAAGCCACGACUGCAGGCUUCAUACUGAAUACCAGCUGAGGGAGAAGAGCAGCAGCAGCAGAAAAGCAGGAUUUUCCUUUGGCUAAACAUCACAUUGGAGAACAGAAUGAAGACUCCUGUAGCCAAAAUCUAUUAUUCACUACUGCAUUUCCUCAUACCUAGAAAAAC